rnacentral:rRNA from 1 species
AGCGAACGCUGGCGGCGUACUUAACACAUGCAAGUCGAACGGGGAUCGUCGGGUUAGCAAUAAUUCGGCGGUCCUAGUGGCGUACGGGUGAGUAACACGUGGGCAACUUGCCCUUGAGACCGGGAUACCCUCUCGAAAGGGAGGCUAAUACUGGAUACGUUCUUCGGAUCGCAAGAUCUGGAGAGGAAAGGUGGCGCAAGCUACCGCUCUUGGAGAGGCUCGCGGCCUAUCAGCAGUUGGUGAGGUAAUGGCUCACCAAGGCUAUGACGGGUAGCUGGUCUGAGAGGACGACCAGCCACACGGGAACUGAGACACGGUCCCGACUCCUACGGGAGGCAGCAGUGGGGAAUUUUCCGCAAUGGGCGAAAGCCUGACGGAGUGACGCCGCGUGGGGGACGAAGGCCU